ensembl:lncRNA
GGCCACUGAAGAAGGUGGACAGGGGAUUUUCACUUACACUGUAGAGGAUCCUCAUCACCUGACCCUCCUAUCAAAGGUGAAACAUUGGAGCCACAGGGGAGAGAGAAUGGGGCCAAGUCAAAUCCUGUGACUUAUUUCUUCUUUUCUAGACUUUGUAAAAAUGAGUGGGUUAGCCAGGUGUAGUGGCGCACACUUGUAAUCCCAUUACUCAGGAGGCCGAGGCAGGAGGAUUGCUCUGAGUUCGAGGUCAGCCUGGGCUACACAGUGAGUUCAAGGCCAGCUUGAACUACAUAGACUUUGUCUCAAAAAACAAAACAAAAAACACAUGGGCUAUUAAUAGUAGCAUUUAGGUGAAAACUCUACACCUGGCUAACUUUUUGAUCAAAACUAAAGGACGGCUGAUGGAGACAAGAGGAGCUGGGAGGCAGCACUGAGAUGAGCAGGAGGGCGUGGCCGGGCAGGCUCAGCGCCCACUGUCCCCUCAACACACUCUCCCCAGGGCUCCCGGCCUGCCGCAAUGGUGAAUACAGGUCAGCGAGGGAGCAGCAUGUAACCUGCUGCUCUUGCCUGUUCUAAAGCAACAAUUGCCUCAAACUUUGCAGAACAGAAUUCUCUGUUAAAACAUACUGGGACCAGGUGUGCAACCACAUGAGGUAAAAAGGAUACUCUAAAAUAUGACAAUAUAACUAUUAAAAUAAAGCCCCCCAAUGAAAUAUGAAAACCUUUACCAAAAAUAGUUUAUUGCACAAAAUUUAAGGAAUUCCCAAGCACGUUUAUAUUCAUAAAAAAAAUCAACAUGCUUCUUAAAGGUACAAACUGUUACACAUGGUGACACUUCCCCAGAACUGUCCCAAUCUGACCAACUCUAUUUUGUGAGGAAUCUUUUUUAUAGAAAUGAGCAACUAAGAACUCUGGAGACCUUUGAAAACAGCCCUCAAGGAUCCUGUCUGAAGCUGAGCCCACCACAGGUUGAGAUAGAGUAAGACUCACACCACAGCUAUUUACGUCAGGGGCCCUUUAAAGGAAUGCCCCAGGACAGUUCUCUUUCAAAUAUGCAGGUCCUUUUCACUCUCAGAAUCUUUACACACAACGCUUAAAUUUUUGUUAAAAAAAAACCUCAUAGAAAUAGGAAUAAUAUAUGUCAUUGUUAUUCUGUCUCUGAAAUUUUUUUUUUUUUGGUACCAGGGAUCAAACUUGGAACCUUGCGCUUGCAAGGCAUUUGGCGGAACCACCGAGCUAAAUCCCGGAAAUAUUAUUGUUAUUCUGUAGGCUCAUGGCUUUUGCAGUAACCGUAUACCAAGGAAAGGAAGUUUAAACUGAGAAAGAGUUUAGCACAAGCUUCCUGAUGUGGUAUACUACAGUGUCUUCUUAGAAGGCUAAUCCUGUCCCUUGGACCCAGGCCUGAGUCUAGCUUCACGUCCUAUUGAAAACACUGCCUGUUACUUCUUCCAACAAAGGUGUAUAAGUCUGUGAGAUCCGUGGCUUUGAUUGACAUAUACCAUGAAAAAUACUUGAUGGAUACCACAUUGAAAUAAAUUUUCUUUUGAACAUAAGAAAAACAAGGAAUGGGCCGGGGAUUUAGCUCAGUGGUUCCAGCGCCUGCCUUGAAAGCACAAGGUCCUGAGUUCAAUUCCCGGUACCAAAAAAAAAAAAAAAAAAAAGAAAGCAAAACAAGGAAUGACAUCAUAAGUGCCCAAGACAAUACUCCCUGCAACAGGAUUCGACAGACAGUGUGUAGGAGUCACAUGCACACAUGCACUGCAGUGGAAGGCUCUCACACAGUAGUACUCUAGACAGAACUGGUCACCCACAAGCGAAUCUUGUAACUCCCACUUCUGCCCACAAGCACAAUCUUUGCAGUCACGAAGAAUCUAGCUCUGGGAGGUAGAAGUGCAGUAGAGACCCCUGGAGAUAGGAAAAAUCCCUCAGUGAUCAAAAGCAGGCCACUUACAAACCCAACCUCUCUUCAAGGUAACUUUGAAAGGAAGCAUGAAGGGAGCACCAGCUUGGGCACAGGGCCUCAGGUCCAGCAUGGCAGGCGUGUGCAAAACAAGCACACAGAGACAGACACGGGCUAGGGCCAAGACGGCCAGGCCCUUGGAACCAAGAGGGCCAGGCAAUGGGGUGGGCACAGCUAGAGACGAGCCAGGUGUGAGGGACGAAGCGGCACAGAGCAGAGCCGCUUUUCCUGAAUGGAGGAGUCAGGGUAGCCUGUUCUUUCCUCACAGGAAAGCACAGCAGCUCAGGAGAAGGCAGCUCUGCCACAGACUGUGCCCAAGGGUUACCUCCUGGUUUAAGACUAACACAAAAGAUAAUAUAACAGAAAUAAAUAAGAAGGCAUAUUACCAUUUCUCUUAUCUAAUGGUACAAAAACAAUUUUGUCAAAACAAUGUCCAACUUAGGUAAAAAGUAGGAUAUAUUUAUAAUGAAGUUGUCAAGUAUUAUUUCAAGAUUAACCCUGUACAAAUGAUAUAUACAUUUAAGAAAUUACAAUACUUGCUAAGGAAUUCUUUUUAAAACACCAAACAUCUUUGUUGUUAAUGCUACUUUAACCAUAUCAAUUAACCUUCCAAUAGUACAUUACAAAAGAACAUAAACACCUUAAAAAUUCCUUACUGUUUUCUCCACAAAAUAGAUACAAGCAAUCUACUAACCGUGCACACUGGGACUGACCAGUAACUCCAGAACUUCAUUUCAGAGGCUACUGGACCUCCCUCCCUCUCUUCCUCCUAACUCCUAACAAUAAGUAUCAUUUUAGAUUUUCUUAGUAACUAGGGGGUAAGUUUAAAGACCUCAUCUCUCCCAGUCAGUCUGCAGCAUUAGGACCUUAGGUGGAAAACAUCCCAGUAAAAUCGCCUCACUUGGUGCUAAUCUUAAACAAGGCAUCUGUCUUUGAGCCUCCGUUCCAAGGAGACUGCAGCCACUUGCCUGUGGUACCUGCAAGUCUCUUCUAGACAUCAGAGCUGAUUCCAGGUGAUGCUGGCAUCCACCACAUCACAGGGCCCGGGGAACACUGUCUCAGGAGGCCUGCAGCCCACGUGUGAGUCAGGCCCUCCUCCUCCCCUGCUUUCUUCCACACCCUGUGCCCCCACAUGCCAGGUCCUUGCUUCAUCUGCCUGGCAGUCAGCCAAGAUGGACCACGCCAGGCCAGCAGCCUGACAGGCCAAUGUUGUAAACUAUGAGGAGACUGGGGAGGAAGUAAAAACCCUCAGAAAAAAGUGAAACUAAAACAAUAAAGAAUCUUUUCUGUGCAAGAAUAUUUGGCUUUAGAAGGUGCAGUAAAUAAAAUAUACCUCUUAAAAUACAGUUUUUUGACUGACAUCCCUAAAUCCUACAUGUACAUUAUUACCCAAAAGCAAAUUUUCAAAUGGCAAUCAAUAAAAAGAUAAUCAGUUCUUCUUAAAUAAUAUACGCGUAUGCUUUUACAAGAUUAUGAUUUUCAGUGCUUAUACACAUCCUAUGGUGAGAUGGCUAUUAAAAAAAAGAGAACUAAAAAGCCAAAGGUGCAAAUCAAACAUUUCUGCAGAAAAGUAAAGCUCUUGCUAAGUGGGAUGGAAGAACUGCCUGGGUCCCUGGCGCUGCUGCCCCCAGACCCUGCCCUGCAAAGCCUCUGCCAGAAACCAGUGAUGAAUGUCACUCAUGCCCACUGACACCUCCUCCUGCACAGCACCCACCAGACAGACAUCCAGAAACUCCCUCCUGAGCUCUAAACCCGGCUUCUAAGAUUUGGUCAUUUCAUGGGAAAAGCUAGCUGUGGUUUGCAAUGACUAUUUCUCUAAACCUUGGCUCUUACUCUGUUAUUUCACUCCUUUUCAAAGGCAAAAGCAAAACUUAAAAUUUCAUCUCUCAGGAAAAUGUAGAGCACACAAUCAAAUAAAUAGUAUUAGAAACGGUACAUCCCUGCACACAGCAGCACACUGCCCUCAGUGGUUGGUUGUCACUGCUCCAGGCCUUCUCUGGGUGCCCUGCUGCGACCCUGCUGCUGGGUGUCUCCCCGGGGGUGGGCGUGCUCUCCCAGGGGUGCUUCCACCUGGGUCCAGGAAGACAGAGACUCAUGCACAGUGAUGGUGUGUUCCUCCAUCUGCCGCUGCAGACAGCUGUUCAGGUUCUUGAGGGGCUCCUUGUUCACAGCAGGCGGGGGUCUCAGCAGCUCCUCUAGCAGUGAGGCUGGGACGGGGCAGUCUGGGAUCUUGAUGGGUGUCGCUGGGCUAGAGGAGCUGGCCUCACUCUUCGGUUCUUUCCUCUGUUUGUAAACACAUAUCAUUAGCUUGGGCAGCGGAUUUGGCUCAGUGGUUCCAGCGCCUGCCUUGCAAGCACAAGGUCCUGAGUUCAAUCCUCUGUACCAAAAAACAAGCAAACAAACAAACAAAUAACCAAAAAACCCCAAACAUAUCAUUAGCUGCCCAAGGGCCCUGUCAGUUUCCCCAUCACAACCUGAGUCAGAUGGGUGCUUGCCCUGGGGGGACUGUCCUGCUCUUU